GCUCGUGUGGUCUAGUGGUAUGACGUUCGCCUCACACCUUCUUAGCUUCCCUACCUAGAUAGGGAGUCAGAGGUAGGACGCGACAGGUCCCAGGUUCGAUCCCUGGUAUGAGCA